CGGAGGGUGCAAGCGUUAUCCGGAUUCACUGGGUUUAAAGGGUGUGUAGGCGGGCUGUUAAGUCAGUGGUGAAAUCUCCGGGCUCAACCCGGAAACUGCCAUUGAUACUAAUAGUCUUGAAUUCUGUUGAGGUGGGCGGAAUAUGUCAUGUAGCGGUGAGAUGCUUAGAUAUGACAUAGAACACCGAUUGCGAAGGCAGCUCACUAAGCAGAUAUUGACGCUGAGGCACGAAAGCGUGGGGAUCAAACAGGAUUAGAUACCCUGGUAGUCCACGCCCUAAACGAUGAUUACUCGACAUACGCGAUACACAGUGUGUGUCUGAGCGAAAGCAUUAAGUAAUCCACCUGGGAAGUACGUCCGCAAGGAUG
rnacentral:rRNA from 1 species